CGAACGCUGGCGGCGUGCUUAACACAUGCAAGUCGAACGCGAAAGAGUUCUUCGGAACUUGAGUAGAGUGGCGCACGGGUGAGUAACGCGUAAGUAAUCUACCCUGAUAUCUGGGAUAACCCACCGAAAGGUGUGCUAAUACCGGAUACGCUGAUUUAUCAGGAAAGGUGGCCUCUUCAUGAAAGCUACUGUAUCAGGAGGAGCUUGCGUACCAUUAGCUAGUUGGUAGGGUAAUGGCCUACCAAGGCAACGAUGGUUAGCGGGUCUGAGAGGAUGAUCCGCCACACUGGAACUGAAACACGGACCAGACUCCUACGGGAGGCAGCAGUGAGGAAUAUUGCGCAAUGGGGGAAACCCUGACGCAGCGACGCCGCGUGGAUGAUGAAGGCCUUCGGGUCGUAAAAUCCUGUCAGGUGGAAAGAAAUGUAUGGCGGUUAAUACCUGCCAUAUUUGACGGUACCACCAAAGGAAGCACCGGCUAACUCC
rnacentral:rRNA from 1 species